rnacentral:lncRNA from 1 species
CUUUACUGAACAUGUACGUGCCUAGGAAGUCUCAGGAAUGGGUAAGUGCUCCUGCUCCCACACAGUCUACAGACCUGGGUGCAAUGGUGAGAAAGACCUCAGUAAAGCAAAGGAAUUACGAAAGGGAGAGGAUAGAAGAUAAAGUACAUAAUAGUUUCCUGAAGCAGCAGAAUGAAAGAACUCUCUGUGGCAUGAAAAUUUACUGCUAAAGUCAAGCCUUUGGCCUCAUCCUAUUCUGACAUCACAGGGAGGCAGCAGCUGAGGCUGUGGUGGGAGAAGAAUGACAAGAACUGAGCGUGGGCCACGGGCUCUUACCUUCAGCAACUUCAUCAGCUCUUCCAGCUGGACCAUCAGCUCCCGCCUGCUCUCCUGCAGGGCCGACAUCCUCUGCUCCAGUUCAUCCUUCCUUUGCCUAUCCAAGACGAGAAGCCUAUCAGAUAAAGAGACCCUCAAAGAUGGAUCUAAGGCCAGGUGAAAUGGAUUUCAGACCUGAUCCUGCUACUUACCAGUUAUGAGACGCUGAGCAAGUCAUUUAGCAUCCAAUACCUCAUAAAAUGGUGAUAAUGUCUGUUUUGCCUACUUCCUGGACUGUUCUGAGAAUAAUAGGUAAAAGUGCUUUGGAAAGUUUAGAUGACUAUAUAAAGGUAUUACUUAUAUUACCAGAGUGAAUUAAUGAUUAAAAAACUCUUUAGAAAAUCAAUGCCUUUUGAAAAAUAUAUAAAAUUAGCCCAAAUUUAGAUUAAUAGUAAAGAAACCAUAUUAAACUGCUCAGAGAAAACAGGGUCCAGUAGUAAGUACUUUCAGCACUAGACAGAUUCAAGAAGGAUGACAGAUCAGGACGGCUCCCUGUGUUCAAGAACAGUCACUUUUCCUUGAGGAUAGAUUUUAUGCCAUCUACUCCAGCUCAAUAUGUCCAAAACCAGACUUAAGACUUUAUUCCCUAAAUGGUUUUCUUGUCUCUGUCUCUUUUUUUUUCCUUGUCUCUGUCUCUUUUCCCUGUCUCUGCUAUUUUUCCUUCCAGGUGUCAUGGUUGAAAAACUCAGUCCUCUUUGUUACUUUCUUCUUUAUAUCCUGUAUUCAAUCAAUAACUCAAUUCAGAUCAUUCUUUCUUGGAAAAUGUAUGUGCCUAUCUUUCUAUUCCCAUUUCUCUCACUUUAUCUAAGCACUCCUUACCUCAAGCAUGAAACAGUCUCCUUAUGUGAUUAAUCCUGCUUUCUUUUUUUUUUUUUUUGUGACGGAGUCUCACUCUGUCGCCCAGGCUGGAGUGCAGUGGUGCCAUCUUGUCUCAACUGCAACCUCCGCUUCCCCAGUUCAAGUGAUUCUCCUGCCUCAGCCUCCUAAAUAGCUGGGAUUACAGGCAUCGCCACCAUGCCCAGUUAAUUUUUGUAUUUUUAGUAGAGAUGGAGUUUCACCAUGUUGGCCAGGCUGGUCUCGAACUCCUGACCUCAAGUGAUCCACCUGCCUCAGCCUCCCAAAGUGCUGGGAUUACAGUCGUGAGCCACCGCACCUGGCUCUUUCAUCUUUUAUGGUGAGGAAAAAGCAGUGAAAUAGAAGUCAAUGGCCUCAAAGUUGAGUAUCAGCACCAGUAUUUACCAAAUAUGCAACCUUAGACAAGUCACUUAGCCUCAGUUUUCUCUCUUCUAAAAGGGGACUAGUAACAGCAACAAUAUUCUGAGGAUCAUAUAAGGUAAUAAAUAUGAGAGUGUUCUACGAACUUUAAACUGCCGCUCAAAACAAAGCUAUGUUCAUUUCAUCAUCCCAUAAUGAUCUCAACAGACUUUCUAGCAUCACUGACCCUUGCCUGUGCAAUCGAGACCUACGCUGUCUAUCACAGCAGCCGCUAGCCACGCGUGACUACCGAGCCCCUGAAACAGGGCUAGGCUGAACUGAGAUGCACGGCAAUUGUAACAUACACACUGGAAUUCAAAGACUUAGUGCAGGAAACAGCAAAGUAUCUGGAUCAUGUUUUAAUACUGAUUACAUGUUGAAAGGACAAUAUUUUGAAAAUAUCAGGUUAAGUAAGAUAUACUAUUAAAAUUAAUGACGCCUAUUACUUUUUGGUUUUUCAAUGAGGCUGUUAGAAAUGUUUUGAUUAUGUGCGUGGCCUGCAUUUCUAUCGGCGAGUGCGGCUCUAGAUCCCAUCUACAUUCCUGUCCUUAGUACCACACCUCCUAUCUUAUGCCCUUUGUGUCUGGACCUCCAGCUUACGGUUCAUUUUUCCUAAGUGGGCUCCAUCAUUUUAUAACUCACCUCUCUUCCAAAUCUUAUUCAUUCCGUAAUGUCUGACCCAACAUCACUGUCGGGAAGCUGCUCCUGAUCACUUCAGCAGGGACUGCUUGAUUAAGCACUACAGUAAUUAGUGCUCCUCAGUGGUACUUAAUUUACUUUACUGCUGCCAUUCCUACCAUGAUGCAAAAUCCUUGAGGUCAGGGGAUGGGCCUUACUCAUCCUUGCAUGUAUUGAAGGAUUAAGAAAAUAUCAUGCAUCCAGUAUCACCUAAUUAACAUCUACUGAACUUACCAAAAUCAUGAUUUGAAACUCUCCAAGGGUUUCCAAUGACCUAACAAUUAAGACUUUCUAGAAUCUGAUCUCAAUUGCCUGGCUAAUUAUAUCUCCUAUCACUGGCACUCUGAAGAUUGAUGUAAUGAAUGAUUGAAAAGAAAUUCUUAGUUCCAAGACUCUUUCCCUUUUCUGAAAUGUGCCAUAAUUAUUUGGGGGGAAUCAUGCUGAACCCCAAGUGCACUUCCAAUCUGAAAUGUUUUGUCCUACACUCCAUCCAAAUCAUUAUCUACUUUUCAUGGUCUAGCUCAACUUCUACCACCUCCAUGGUUCCAAAUGCUUCCAGAGGAAAAUUAGACACACAAAGGUGGUAGGGAAUAAAUAUAGAUAUAAUACCUAUAUUAUAUAGGUAUUAUAUAUGUAAAAUCUUGUGUGUAUACAUACAUUAUAUUAUAUAUAUUUCCCUACACAGAUUUCUUAUCCAUACUGUUUAUUGACAUUGCACAAUAUUUUUUAACUAUCAAAUUAUUUUAUGUUUUGUUCCAAAACCAGAUUAUAAGUUUUUAGGAAGGACUCAUUGUCUUCUAGUCUUCAUACUCUCUACAUUUCCAGUGCAGUAGACCCUCGAUAAGAAGGAUCUACUCAUUCAAUGUUCUAGGAAGACUUCUUCCUCUGAACUCCUGAGCCUGGGUGUGAUAUUCUUUAUCUGUACUGUGUGUGACCAAACAAUUACGGUAUAAGCUGAACAUGAAUGAGCUACAGCUACAUCCAACCACAGAGAACGAUCCUAAAGGCUAAUAUGGUGGGGGUAGGGGGUGGAGAGGGAAGUCCUCUGGGACUAUCCCCACCAUAUUAGUAUAAUAUUUCUAUUAAGCUUAGAAAACAAAAAGCAAAACUAAACAGCUUAUUACAUAGGAUAGUGAUAAUGCGACAAUAUUGUUUUAAACACAAGGUAAUGAUAAACCAAAUUCUGGAUAGGCGUUCACCCAGUGGGGAAGGUGGAGGCAAGGAAAUGGGGUAAGGGAGAGGUACUUCUAUGGAUGGCAUUGUUUUAGUCAUAUUAUGAGUUCUCAAAUAGGAUGUGGGUUUAUAAGUAUUCAUUUGACUAUUACGCUUCAUAUACGUUUGUCGCACACACAUUCGUCAUACAUUUUAUUGUAAGCAACGUACCAUUAAAAAUAAUAAUAAAGGAAGAAAAGGCA